rnacentral:rRNA from 1 species
UACAGGGGAUGCAAGUGUUAUCCGGAAUUAUUGGGCGUAAAGCGUCUGCAGGUGGACUUUUAAGUCUUUUGUUAAAGCUCUGGGCUUAACCUAGAAUCUGCAAAAGAAACUAUUUGUCUUGAGUAUGGUAGAGGUAAAGGGAAUUUCCAGUGGAGCGGUGAAAUGCUUAGAUAUUGGGAAGAACACCAACGGCGAAGGCACUUUACUGGGCCAGCACUGACACUGAGAGACGAAAGCUAGGGGAGCAAACGGG